rnacentral:snRNA from 1 species
UACAUAACGUCAUACAUUUCGU